rnacentral:tRNA from 1 species
GUAAGUCAGGAUGGCCGAGUGGUCUAAGGCGCCAGACUCAAGUUCUGGUCUUCGAGAGAGGGCGUGGGUUCAAAUCCCACUUCUGACAU